rnacentral:rRNA from 1 species
AGUGAACGCUGGCGGUAGGCCUAACACAUGCAAGUCGAACGGCAGCACAGUAAGAGCUUGCUCUUACGGGUGGCGAGUGGCGGACGGGUGAGGAAUAAAUCGGAAUCUACUUUUUCGUGGGGGAUAACGUAGGGAAACUUACGCUAAUACCGCAUACGAUCUACGGGUGAAAGCAGGGGAUCUUCGGACCUUGCGCGAUUGAAUGAGCCGAUGUCGGAUUAGCUAGUUGGCGGGGUAAGGGCCCACCAUGGCGACGAUCCGUAGCUGGUCUGAGAGGAUGAUCAGCCACACUGGAACUGAAACACGGUCCAGACGCCUACGGGAGGCAGCAGUGGGGUAUAUUAGACAAUGGGCGCAAGCCUGAUCCAGCCAUACCGCGUGGGUGAAGAAGGCCUUCUGGUUGUAAAGCCCUUUUGUUGGGAAAGAAAAGCAGCAGGUUAAUACCCCGCUGUUCUGACGGUACCCAAAGAAUAAGCACCGGCUAACUUCGUG